rnacentral:rRNA from 1 species
UACGGAGGGUGCAAGCGUUAUCCGGAUUCACUGGGUUUAAAGGGUGCGUAGGUGGGUUGAUAAGUCCGUGGUGAAAUCUCCGAGCUUAACUCGGAAACUGCCGUGGAUACUAUCAAUCUUGAAUACUGUGGAGGUAAGCGGAAUAUGUCAUGUAGCGGUGAAAUGCUUAGAUAUGACAUAGAACACCGAUAGCGGAGGCAGCUUGCUACACAGUCAUUGACACUGAGGCACGAAAGCGUGGGGAUCAAACAGG